rnacentral:ncRNA from 2 species
UAACUGGUUGAUCCUGCCAGUA